AGGGAGCGCAGCAAGAAGAGA
rnacentral:miRNA from 1 species